GACGAACGCUGGCGGCGCGCUUAACACAUGCAAGUCGAACGGAAAGGCCUGCUUUCCCUUGUGGAUUGCGGGUACUCGAGUGGCGAACGGGUGAGUAACACGUGAGUGAUCUGCCCCCAACUUGGGUAUAAGCCUGGGAAACUGGGUCUAAUUCCCGAUAGGACUGCAGGGUGGUGCCUGUGGUGGAAAACGAUUUUCUAGUGGUUGGGGAUGAGCUCGCGGCCUAUCAGCUUGUUGGUGGGGUAAUGGCCUACCAAGGCGGCGACGGGUAGCCGGCCUGAGAGGGUGGACGGCCACAUUGGGACUGAGAUACGGCCCAGACGCCUACGGGAGGCAGCAGUGGGGAAUAUUGCACAAUGGGCGGAAGCCUGAUGCAGCGACGCCGCGUGGGGGAUGCCGGCCUUCGGGUUGUAAGCUCCUUUCGACCGCGAGGAAGCCACCUGGUUGGAAGGGUGGUGACGGUAGUGGUAGAAGAAGCACCGGCUAACUACGUG
rnacentral:rRNA from 1 species